ensembl:lincRNA Gm29012 predicted gene 29012
CACUGCUAUUCCCCUUUCACCUAAAUCCCUCUGUGCACAGCAACUGAAAGCCUGAUAACCAUUAAAACAACCAACACCAAAGAGCCUUAAACCUCUGCUGAGUUCCCUUUCUUGAGUGUCCUUGAGUGUCCACACCUGGACACUGUAGUUGGUGUCUUUAAUCUGUAUCUGAGAUAAAACAGAAUGUUUCAGAGAGGUGGAGAAGAGGUUGGGUUCUCACUAGCUGAGAAAUCCCAGAAAAAUGGCCUGGCCUGAUUUCUGAAGAUAGAGAAGCCCUGAGCAUGCAAAAAAUGCUCAGCACCUGGAUUGGAAGUCCCCCCAAAGGCAGAAUUUGUCCUUGCUUGUCAUAUCAGGCUCAAAGCAGCAUGGAUUCCAGACACAAUGUCAGCUCUAGGUCUUUAUAACAGAAGUGCUAAGAACCAUGUAGAAACACUGCCCCCCGAGAAUCUGAGUUUGUCUUCUCUGGCUU